AUCCAGUUGACGAGUCCCAAACAGGACGAAACGCGAGUCCUGGAU
rnacentral:hammerhead_ribozyme from 1 species